rnacentral:rRNA from 1 species
UACAGAGGGGGCAAGCGUUGUUCGGAAUUACUGGGCGUAAAGGGCGCGUAGGCGGCCCGCUAAGUCGAACGUGAAAUCCCCGAGCUCAACUCGGGAACUGCGUCCGAUACUGGCGGGCUUGAAUCCGGGAGAGGGAUGCGGAAUUCCAGGUGUAGCGGUGAAAUGCGUAGAUAUCUGGAGGAACACCGGUGGCGAAGGCGGCAUCCUGGACCGGCAUUGACGCUGAGGCGCGAAAGCCAGGGGAGCAAACGGGG